rnacentral:rRNA from 1 species
CACGUAGGGGCGAGCGUUGUCCGGAAUUACUGGGCGUAAAGGGCGCGCAGGCUGUUAUGCGAGUCUGCUGUGAAAUGUACCGGCUCAACCGGUGCCUUGCGGCGGAUACUGCAUAGCUGGAGUACUGGAGAGGGAAGUGGAAUUCCCGGUGUAGCGGUGAAAUGCGUAGAUAUCGGUAGGAACACCGGUGGCGAAGGCGGCUUUCUGGCCAGUUACUGACGCUCAUGCGCGAAAGCUGGGGUAGCGAACCGGAUUAGAUACCCCGGUA